rnacentral:rRNA from 1 species
CUUAGCGGCAGACGGGUGAGUAACGCGUGGGUAACCUGCCUUACACUGGGGGAUAACACUUAGAAAUAGGUGCUAAUACCGCAUAAGCGCACGAAGCCGCAUGGAUUUGUGUGAAAAACUCCGGUGGUGUAAGAUGGACCCGCGUCUGAUUAGCUUGUUGGCGGGGUAACGGCCCACCAAGGCGACGAUCAGUAGCCGGCCUGAGAGGGUGGACGGCCACAUUGGGACUGAGACACGGCCCAAACUCCUACGGGAGGCAGCAG